GGGGCAGCAUGGUCUUAGCUUGCUAAGGCCGAUGGCGACCGGCGCACGGGUGAGUAACACGUAUCCAACCUGCCGUCUACUCUUGGACAGCCUUCUGAAAGGAAGAUUAAUACAAGAUGGCAUCAUGAGUCCGCAUGUUCACAUGAUUAAAGGUAUUCCGGUAGACGAUGGGGAUGCGUUCCAUUAGAUAGUAGGCGGGGUAACGGCCCACCUAGUCUUCGAUGGAUAGGGGUUCUGAGAGGAAGGUCCCCCACAUUGGAACUGAGACACGGUCCAAACUCCUACGGGAGGCAGCAGUGAGGAAUAUUGGUCAAUGGGCGAGAGCCUGAACCAGCCAAGUAGCGUGAAGGAUGACUGCCCUAUGGGUUGUAAACUUCUUUUAUAAAGGAAUAAAGUCGGGUAUGGAUACCCGUUUGCAUGUACUUUAUGAAUAAGGAUCGGCUAACUCCGUGCCAGCAGCCGCGGUAAUACGGAGGAUCCGAGCGUUAUCCGGAUUUAUUGGGUUUAAAGGGAGCGUAGAUGGAUGUUUAAGUCAGUUGUGAAAGUUUGCGGCUCAACCGUAAAAUUGCAGUUGAUACUGGAUAUCUUGAGUGCAGUUGAGGCAGGCGGAAUUCGUGGUGUAGCGGUGAAAUGCUUAGAUAUCACGAAGAACUCCGAUUGCGAAGGCAGCCUGC
rnacentral:rRNA from 1 species